AUCAGUCUCAUUGUAAAAGACACUUCUAAAGAGUGUCCUCCUUUCUUUCCCAACACUGGCAGGGACAGUAAGUGGUGUUUCCUGGGAGAUGCUACGGUGUUAUUUUUGCACUACAAGGGCUCUGAAGACUGCCAGGCUUGAAGUGAAGAACCACGUCACCUGCCUAUCCCAGCCAGGUGACAGUGGACAAGGGGCUUCACCUCUGAGCUGUUUUCCAGCUGUACUGGGCACAUUCCUCCUCUCACCCUGACUCACAAGGUGUUAGCAAUAAUGGACACUCCUCUAUCUUCUGCCACACUCUGAACAAUACUUCACUUCCAUCAAAUGGAUUCAUCCCAAAGGUAAUGCCCAUCGCUUCUGGAGGGAGAAAGGGAACGGGUCACGCAUGUGGAUGAUCAAAGGUCAGCUCCUGGUCAAUGUAAGUAAACAAGCCUAUUUACGAUAAAUUCCCCUAUGCUUCCU
rnacentral:lncRNA from 10 species